rnacentral:rRNA from 1 species
ACGGGAGGCAGCAGUGGGGAAUAUUGGACAAUGGGCGCAAGCCUGAUCCAGCAACGCCGCGUGGAGGAUGAAGGUCUUCGGAUCGUAAACUCCUGUCAGGUGGGACGAAGGCUGCGGGGUGAAUAAUCCUGCAGUUUGACGGUACCACCAGAGGAAGCCCCGGCUAACUCCGUGCCAGCAGCCGCGGUAAUACGGAGGGGGCGAGCGUUAUUCGGAAUUAUUGGGCGUAAAGGGCGCGUAGGCGGCUUGACAAGUCAAAGGUGAAAUCCCUCGGCUCAACUGAGGAACUGCCUUUGAAACUGUCGGGCUUGAGGCCGGGAGGGGGUAGCGGAAUUCCCAGUGUAGCGGUGAAAUGCGUAGAUAUUGGGAGGAACACCGGUGGCGAAGGCGGCUACCUGGACCGGUUCUGACGCUGAUGCGCGAAAGCGUGGGUAGCAAACAGGAUUAGAUACCCUGGUA